rnacentral:rRNA from 1 species
UAAACGCUGGCGGCAUGCCUAAUACAUGCAAGUCGAACGCUCUCGAUCUUCGGAUCAAUGAGAGAGUGGCGAACGGGUGAGUAACACGUAAGAAAUCUGCCCCAAAGUCGAGGAUAACCAUUGGAAACGAUGGCUAAUACUGGAUAGGAUAUAAAACCGCAUGGUUUAAUAUUUAAAGGUGCGUUUGCACCGCUAUGGGAUGAUCUUGCGCUGCAUUAGCUAGUUGGUAGGGUAAUGGCCUACCAAGGCGACGAUGCAUAGCUGGUCUGAGAGGAUGAACAGCCACACUGGGACUGAGACACGGCCCAGACUCCUACGGGAGGCAGCAGUAGGGAAUUUUCGGCAAUGGGCGAAAGCCUGACCGAGCAAUGCCGCGUGAACGAUGAAGGUCUUCGGAUCGUAAAGUUCUGUUAUAGAGGAAGAACAUUUGUCAUAGGAAAUGAUGGCAGACUGACGGUACUCUAUCAGAAAGCUCCGGCUAACUAC